rnacentral:rRNA from 1 species
UACGUAGGGUGCGAGCGUUAAUCGGAAUUACUGGGCGUAAAGCGUGCGCAGGCGGUUUGUUAAGCCAGAUGUUAAAGCCCCGGGCUCAACCUGGGAACUGCGUUUGGUACUGGCAAGCUAGAGUACGGCAGAGGGGGGUGGAAUUCCACGUGUAGCAGUGAAAUGCGUAGAGAUGUGGAGGAACACCGAUGGCGAAGGCAGCCCCCUGGGCCGAUACUGACGCUCAGGCACGAAAGCGUGGGGAGCAAACAGG